rnacentral:rRNA from 1 species
AAGGCCUACGGGGGGCAGCAGUGAGGAAUAUUGGUCAAUGGGCGAGAGCCUGAACCAGCCAAGUCGCGUGAGGGAGUACUGCCCUAUGGGUUGUAAACCUCUUUUGUCGGGGAGCAAAAGCCGGACGUGUCCGGCUGUGAGAGUACCCGAAGAAAAAGCAUCGGCUAACUCCGUGCCAGCAGCCGCGGUAAUACGGAGGAUGCGAGCGUUAUCCGGAUUUAUUGGGUUUAAAGGGUGCGCAGGCGGGGUUUUAAGUCAGCGGUCCAAUCGUUGGGCUCAACCCCAUCCAGCCGUUGCAAAUGGGG